rnacentral:lncRNA from 1 species
GUAAAUGUGUCAGAUCUUGAGCCUGCUUGUUGGCACUGGAAAGCUCCACGGUAUUCAAGAUAGCUUUGAGUUGAAUGCCAAGUUACUUGAAUGCAACUGGUAUUAAAAUGCUUGCUUUAAACAAAUGAGCUUUGUGCUAUCUGGCUUGCUGAGACCAUACCCAUGCCAAAAGGCAGUCCCACUAGGGAUCUGCUGGACUUGCCUCUGAACCUGUCCAAAACCCACUGACCCCAGUUUUCGGAGCUUUGGGGUGUAAGGCCCCUAACUAUGAUCAUGAUCAAGGUGAAGGUUUUAAGUGAGUUGGGUGCACUGCAGAACAGGAUUUCUGUUUUCCAUCUACAAAGGUGUUUUUAAGCGUUAUCCGCUGGCACACUUGACCGACACCCCAGCAACAAAAGGCAUUGUGUGCAUAGCCUGUUUGCUUAGCCACCGCCUCAAAACCCAUCAUGUGUGCAUGGACCGUCGAGCUCGGAAAAAAGGGCUGGUGAGACAAUAAGCUGCCGCAAGGGAGCUUCAGUCCAUCUGUGCAGUAUCAGUUGCAAGUCCUGGGCUCCAAUUUAUAUGUUCUGGGGCAGCAGGGCGUGACAUUCACCUUGUCUGUGAAGUAUUGUUUCUGUUGAUGACACUGAAAGAUUUACAGUGCAGUUUUCUCCAGCUGCAAUGAAAACUGAUGGGGGAAAAAACAUAUAAGUUCUUUUUUGGUAUAUCUUCCUAUAUGAAUUCACUCCUCAAAUAGAGCUCAGUUUUUAAACCUACUAAUUUUGACAGCGUCCUCUUAUUUUUUUUUCAGAUGUGACACUGAAUCAAAGAAUUUAUAUGAAGGUCCAAGCAGAACCGAUGCCUUUCAAAUUUGACUUGCUUGGUGCUUGCAAUAAUUUAUGCAAAUCCUAUCAAGUAUUUUGCAAGACUGCUACUUAAAAAUUAAUUGGUUUCCCUAUUCUACUGUACAGAAACCACAACUGUGGAAGCUCAACAUGUUUGUGAAUACCACGAAAAUGUGAGGCCUAAUGCACUGUAGCUGCAACCCGACUCCCCGCAUCUGUCCCCUAACGGGUAAGUCGCUGGGGGAAGGGGCCUUCUGAUCGGGGAAUCGAGUCCACAUUGUCAUUUCUUAGACAAAGAACAAGAAGUUGGCCUGUCAUCUUGUCUAAGAAAUGUCAUUUUACUCUGUUUAAUAGCACGUCUGAAUGUGACAGAGAGUAGAAACCCCCUAGAAACUGCUCCCCCAAGCUGAGGACUUUCUAGAUCUUCCUGACAACCAUCCAUCGGGACAAACAUCCCAGUGUUGCUUGACAGGACAACAGA